CCAAGGCGCUUGAGAGAACUCGGGUGAAGGAACUAGGCAAAAUGGUGCCGUAACUUCGGGAGAAGGCACGCUGACACGUAGGUGAAGUGGUUUACCCAUGGAGCUGAAGUCAGUCGAAGAUACCAGCUGGCUGCAACUGUUUAUUAAAAACACAGCACUGUGCAAACACGAAAGUGGACGUAUACGGUGUGACGCCUGCCCGGUGCCGGAAGGUUAAUUGAUGGGGUCAGCGCAAGCGAAGCUCCUGAUCGAAGCCCCGGUAAACGGCGGCCGUAACUAUAACGGUCCUAAGGUAGCGAAAUUCCUUGUCGGGUAAGUUCCGACCUGCACGAAUGGCGUAAUGAUGGCCAGGCUGUCUCCACCCGGGACUCAGUGAAAUUGAACUCGCUGUGAAGAUGCAGUGUACCCGCGGCAAGACGGAAAGACCCCGUGAACCUUUACUAUAGCUUGACACUGAACACUGGUCCUUGAUGUGCAGGAUAGGUGGGAGGCUUUGAAGUGUGGACGCCAGUCUGCAUGGAGCCAUCCUUGAAAUACCACCCUUUAAUGGCUGGUGUUCUAACGUGGGCCCGUGAACCGGGUUGCGGACAGUGUCUGGUGGGUAGUUUGACUGGGGCGGUCUCCUCCUAAAGAGUAACGGAGGAGCACGAAGGUUGGCUAAUCCUGGUCGGACAUCAGGAGGUUAGUGCAAUGGCAUAAGCCAGCUUGACUGCGAGCGUGACGGCGCGAGCAGGUGCGAAAGCAGGUCAUAGUGAUCCGGUGGUUCUGAAUGGAAGGGCCAUCGCUCAACGGAUAAAAGGUACUCCGGGGAUAACAGGCUGAUACCGCCCAAGAGUUCAUAUCGACGGCGGUGUUUGGCACCUCGAUGUCGGCUCAUCACAUCCUGGGGCUGAAGUAGGUCCCAAGGGUAUGGCUGUUCGCCAUUUAAAGUGGUACGCGAGCUGGGUUUAGAACGUCGUGAGACAGUUCGGUCCCUAUCUGCCGUGGGCGCUGGAAGAUUGAGGGGGGCUGCUCCUAGUACGAGAGGACCGGAGUGGACGCAUCACUGGUGUUCGGGUUGUCAUGCCAAUGGCACUGCCCGGUAGCUACAUGCGGAAGAGAUAAGUGCUGAAAGCAUCUAAGCACGAAACUUGCCCCGAGAUGAAUCUUCCCUGAGCCUUUAAGGCUCCUGAAGGAACGUUGAAGACGACGACGUUGAUAGGCCGGGUGUGUAAGCGCAGCGAUGCGUUGAGCUAACCGGUACUAAUGAACCGUGAGGCUUAACCUUACA
rnacentral:rRNA from 1 species